GGGUUGUGAGGUUAAGCGACUAAGCGUACACGGUGGAUGCCCUGGCAGUCAGAGGCGAUGAAGGACGUGCUAAUCUGCGAUAAGCGUCGGUAAGGUGAUAUGAACCGUUAUAACCGGCGAUUUCCGAAUGGGGAAACCCAGUGUGUUUCGACACACUAUCAUUAACUGAAUCCAUAGGUUAAUGAGGCGAACCGGGGGAACUGAAACAUCUAAGUACCCCGAGGAAAAGAAAUCAACCGAGAUUCCCCCAGUAGCGGCGAGCGAACGGGGAGCAGCCCAGAGCCUGAAUCAGUGUGUGUGUUAGUGGAAGCGUCUGGAAAGGCGCGCGAUACAGGGUGACAGCCCCGUACACAAAAAUGCACAUGCUGUGAGCUCGAUGAGUAGGGCGGGACACGUGGUAUCCUGUCUGAAUAUGGGGGGACCAUCCUCCAAGGCUAAAUACUCCUGACUGACCGAUAGUGAACCAGUACCGUGAGGGAAAGGCGAAAAGAACCCCGGCGAGGGGAGUGAAAAAGAACCUGAAACCGUGUACGUACAAGCAGUGGGAGCACGCUUAGGCGUGUGACUGCGUACCUUUUGUAUAAUGGGUCAGCGACUUAUAUUCUGUAGCAAGGUUAACCGAAUAGGGGAGCCGAAGGGAAACCGAGUCUUAACUGGGCGUUAAGUUGCAGGGUAUAGACCCGAAACCCGGUGAUCUAGCCAUGGGCAGGUUGAAGGUUGGGUAACACUAACUGGAGGACCGAACCGACUAAUGUUGAAAAAUUAGCGGAUGACUUGUGGCUGGGGGUGAAAGGCCAAUCAAACCGGGAGAUAGCUGGUUCUCCCCGAAAGCUAUUUAGGUAGCGCCUCGUGAAUUCAUCUCCGGGGGUAGAGCACUGUUUCGGCAAGGGGGUCAUCCCGACUUACCAACCCGAUGCAAACUGCGAAUACCGGAGAAUGUUAUCACGGGAGACACACGGCGGGUGCUAACGUCCGUCGUGAAGAGGGAAACAACCCAGACCGCCAGCUAAGGUCCCAAAGUCAUGGUUAAGUGGGAAACGAUGUGGGAAGGCCCAGACAGCCAGGAUGUUGGCUUAGAAGCAGCCAUCAUUUAAAGAAAGCGUAAUAGCUCACUGGUCGAGUCGGCCUGCGCGGAAGAUGUAACGGGGCUAAACCAUGCACCGAAGCUGCGGCAGCGACACUAUGUGUUGUUGGGUAGGGGAGCGUUCUGUAAGCCUGUGAAGGUGUGCUGUGAGGCAUGCUGGAGGUAUCAGAAGUGCGAAUGCUGACAUAAGUAACGAUAAAGCGGGUGAAAAGCCCGCUCGCCGGAAGACCAAGGGUUCCUGUCCAACGUUAAUCGGGGCAGGGUGAGUCGACCCCUAAGGCGAGGCCGAAAGGCGUAGUCGAUGGGAAACAGGUUAAUAUUCCUGUACUUGGUGUUACUGCGAAGGGGGGACGGAGAAGGCUAUGUUGGCCGGGCGACGGUUGUCCCGGUUUAAGCGUGUAGGCUGGUUUUCCAGGCAAAUCCGGAAAAUCAAGGCUGAGGCGUGAUGACGAGGCACUACGGUGCUGAAGCAACAAAUGCCCUGCUUCCAGGAAAAGCCUCUAAGCAUCAGGUAACAUCAAAUCGUACCCCAAACCGACACAGGUGGUCAGGUAGAGAAUACCAAGGCGCUUGAGAGAACUCGGGUGAAGGAACUAGGCAAAAUGGUGCCGUAACUUCGGGAGAAGGCACGCUGAUAUGUAGGUGAAGUCCCUCGCGGAUGGAGCUGAAAUCAGUCGAAGAUACCAGCUGGCUGCAACUGUUUAUUAAAAACACAGCACUGUGCAAACACGAAAGUGGACGUAUACGGUGUGACGCCUGCCCGGUGCCGGAAGGUUAAUUGAUGGGGUCAGCGCAAGCGAAGCUCUUGAUCGAAGCCCCGGUAAACGGCGGCCGUAACUAUAACGGUCCUAAGGUAGCGAAAUUCCUUGUCGGGUAAGUUCCGACCUGCACGAAUGGCGUAAUGAUGGCCAGGCUGUCUCCACCCGAGACUCAGUGAAAUUGAACUCGCUGUGAAGAUGCAGUGUACCCGCGGCAAGACGGAAAGACCCCGUGAACCUUUACUAUAGCUUGACACUGAACAUUGAGCCUUGAUGUGUAGGAUAGGUGGGAGGCUUUGAAGUGUGGACGCCAGUCUGCAUGGAGCCGACCUUGAAAUACCACCCUUUAAUGUUUGAUGUUCUAACGUUGACCCGUGAUCCGGGUUGCGGACAGUGUCUGGUGGGUAGUUUGACUGGGGCGGUCUCCUCCUAAAGAGUAACGGAGGAGCACGAAGGUUGGCUAAUCCUGGUCGGACAUCAGGAGGUUAGUGCAAUGGCAUAAGCCAGCUUGACUGCGAGCGUGACGGCGCGAGCAGGUGCGAAAGCAGGUCAUAGUGAUCCGGUGGUUCUGAAUGGAAGGGCCAUCGCUCAACGGAUAAAAGGUACUCCGGGGAUAACAGGCUGAUACCGCCCAAGAGUUCAUAUCGACGGCGGUGUUUGGCACCUCGAUGUCGGCUCAUCACAUCCUGGGGCUGAAGUAGGUCCCAAGGGUAUGGCUGUUCGCCAUUUAAAGUGGUACGCGAGCUGGGUUUAGAACGUCGUGAGACAGUUCGGUCCCUAUCUGCCGUGGGCGCUGGAGAACUGAGGGGGGCUGCUCCUAGUACGAGAGGACCGGAGUGGACGCAUCACUGGUGUUCGGGUUGUCAUGCCAAUGGCACUGCCCGGUAGCUAAAUGCGGAAGAGAUAAGUGCUGAAAGCAUCUAAGCACGAAACUUGCCCCGAGAUGAGUUCUCCCUGACUCCUUGAGAGUCCUGAAGGAACGUUGAAGACGACGACGUUGAUAGGCCGGGUGUGUAAGCGCAGCGAUGCGUUGAGCUAACCGGUACUAAUGAACCGUGAGGCUUAACCUUACAACGCCGAAGGUGUUU
rnacentral:rRNA from 1 species